rnacentral:lncRNA from 1 species
AUUUUUAACUCAAUUCAAGGCCUUAUUUUAUCUUUCUUAUUUUUAUACCACUGAAAUAGCUUUGCAGACCUCCCCCCCACCCACCUCAAGUACUCAGUGCCCAACAUCUGUCCCAGUUACAUCACUGCUGAACAUUUCAACAUCUAACAGCAGCAAUUCUACAGGUGAGUCUGUGUUAUAUAUUUAAUGUAUUAUUUAUUAUAUAUGUAUACAGUAUAAUACAGUAUGAAUGCAUAAGCGAAUGCACUUCAGUUUCAGAUCCCGCAACCACAGAUCAGUCCAACAAUCUGACAACCACAGAUUGGCGGACUUACCUGAUAGUAUUUGGGUGUGUCCUGCUGCUGAUAUCUGUGGUCUGGAUUCUGGUGUUUACGGGCUGCCAUUGCAGGGCAUGUGCUUGUCCUCCCUGCUGCUCAAGAAGAAGACAGUUUGAUGUUGCUGAUUAUGAGGAGAAAGCAAAGCAGAACUCACGCUCACAAAGACAUCCUACUGAAACCACAGACUCUGAACCCACCUAUGAGAACGUCAUCAUAUCUACCAGCCAGCCCCAACCUGAGGAGAACAUCUACUGUAAUCAAUAGAAUCAAUAGAAAAAUGGUAGAAUUUUUGUAACAUAAACCUGAGAAAUUUGCAUUUUUAUUAGGAAACUAGAGAAUUUUACAGCAAUUAUUAAUGAUAUAUGGUAAUACUGUAGUUCUGACACUGAAGAGAUCAUAUUUAUCCAGUUAAAUGGCUGGUGGUUUUUAAUCAAUGGAUCAAUUCAUUACUAUCUAAAUUUUUGUUUAUUUUUUUCUACAUUUUUGUAGAAAACUAGAAGUUGCAAAAGUACGUAAAUAAGGUUUUUUUUAAUGUUUCCUAAUUAAGUGUGUUUAUAAGCCAUGUCUUCUUGACCUAUAAAGUAUUCUUAAAUUAGAGUCCACUAUUUAAAAUUGAUUAAAAACCUGAUUAAAAUCUGAUUCGAAAGGGUUAUCGUCUCAGCGGCCUAAUCCAAAGUACUUCAGAAACAUUACCUAGCACCAAUAGAGCGCUAUUAGAACCUGAAGGUUGUUCUAUUAUAGGGUGACACACUGAGCAAUGCUUAUACAGCUCUGGAAGAAAAUAAGAGAGCACUUAAAAAUGAUGAGUUUCUUUGAUUUUACCAAAUUGAAAACCUCUGGAAUAUAAUCAAGAGGAAGAUGG